CUGGUUGAUCCUGCCAGUAGUCAUAUGCUUGUCUCAAAGAUUAAGCCAUGCAUGUCUAAGUCCAAGCUGUGUUCACACGGCGAGACCGCGGACGGCUCAUUAAAUCAGUCGUGGUCCAAAUGGGCCAGUGCAAAUCCUACUUGGAUAACUGUGGUAAUUCCAGAGCUAAUACAUGCAACUGAUAUCCCGAAGGCGGUGUCUGUGCUUGCUUGCCUUGCGCUCUCACUGCUCUGACGGAUGCUUUUAUUAGACCAAGCCGCUGAGGACUUGGAGGCAACUCCUUGUUCGACUCGUACAAUGGUGACUCUGGAUAACCAAUUCUGACAAGCGCACGUACUCCUCUUCCGAGCGAGACGGCGCUGCCACUUUCGAGUGUCUGCCUUAUCAGCUAUCAACCGUUCGUUAUGCGCGACCGAUGGCUUUGACGGGUAACGGGGAAUCAGGGUUCGAUUCCGGAGAGGCAGCCUGAGAGACGGCUACCACGUCCAAGGACGGCAGCAGGCACGCAAAUUACCCAAUCCCAGCAAAUGGGGGAGGUAGUGACGAAAUCUAACGAUGCGGGCGCCCUUUCUGGGGCCCCGCAAUCGGAAUGGGCACUUUCUAAACAACCUGUUGAGAACCUACUGAAGGGCAAGUCUGGUGCCAGCAGCCGCGGUAAUUCCAGCUUCAGCAGCAUCUAUUAAAGUUGCUGCRGUUAAAARGCUCGYAGUUGAAUGUCUGUAUCGAGCGCAGGUCAGGUGGACGUU
rnacentral:rRNA from 1 species